rnacentral:rRNA from 1 species
AUGUUCACCACCUCCGUUCAUGAUGGAUUCCAUCGAGCGUGUUCCCUCUGCACCUCGGGGUCCUCCGCCGGCGACGGCCCCAUCGAGACCUCCACUACGACGCCCCCAUCAAGCUCGCGGCCGACCGUGUUCUCUCCCGCAUCAGCCUGUCGCUGCGCCUCGGUCCUCCUCCGAGGAAUGUCGUCUGAUGACGAACACGAUUUCAUUAUGUGCGAAUACUGCGAAGACCAGCGCGGCCUGUGCGGCAGAAAUUUUCUAGUUGAUGAUAGACGCUUCAGCAUCAAGCUGGAUGAGAACUUCGAAGUGGAUACACGUAUCCCCUGCCAUGCAAGAAUUUUUGUCUUGGAUAAGAUAGGUUUCAGUCCUAACGAAACUAUGGAGGUAAAAAGAGUUUACUUGAAGACCGAACAUGGUUAUACCUUCAACAUCAAAUUAUACAAUGCAGACACAUACACCUAUUUUGAAUGCAAAACUUGGCAAGCACUAUGCAAGGCUUAUGCAUUUGAGCCUGAUAUGGUUAUCACCUUUGAUAUUCGUCCGGAAGAUGAUAUUGAAGGUAAUAGAGACAUCUGGGUCGAUGUGCAGACGCCUCCAGUUCUACCAUUAUCAAACAUGUCCGGCGCUUGGUAG